UUACAUGGUCACUGAUCUUGGCAAUGAAGGAGCAUUACUGAUGGAGUUUGAAACUCCUGAAGAAGCUGCUGCUGUCAUGGCACAUCUCAGGCGGCAUCGGAAGGAUAAAAAUAAUCAUCUGCCACCUUUUAAUGCUGGAUCAUCUAAUGUUCCCUUGCCUCAACUGGAUGGUGGAAGAUCAAUGCCAGCCCCAAUCCAUGCUGAAAUCAGAACCAAUAAUUCUGGAAGCAUGUGCAAGAUUGAGUCUCCUUGUGCUCAAACUGCAAUCGGGAGCCCUGCUGACAGCUGUAGGACAAGGAUGUCUCACUUAUCUUCCUUAGUUGCAUCGUUAUGUGCAAAGUACAACAUUAAAAAAAACCCAAAUUAUUUUGACAAUUAUACAUACGGAUCCAGCAAUACUGCUAUGGCAAGGGAUGUGGACCAAGUGCCAUCAAGC
rnacentral:misc_RNA from 1 species